GAUGAACGCUGGCGGCGUGCUUAACACAUGCAAGUCGAACGGAAAGGCCCUUCGGGGUACUCGUUUGGCGAACGGGUGAGUAACACGUUGGUGAUCUGGUCUGCACUUUGUGAUAAGCCUGGGAAACCGGGUCUAAUACCGAAUAGGACCACGCGCUUCAUGGCGUGUGGGUGAAAGCUUUUGCGGUGUGGUAUGUGCCCGCGCCGUAUCAGCUUGUUGGUGGGGUAAUGGUCUACCAAGGCGAGGACAGGUAGACGACCUGAGAGAGUGACCGGCCACAUGGGAGCGUAGACAGGGUCACUGGGACUACGGUAGGGAGCAGAAUGCAACGUGAGGCAACGGUGGGAAGUAUUACACAGCGAGGGCAAGCCUGAUGCGGAGACGCCGCGUGAGGAAUGACGGGCUUCGGGUUAUGAACAUCUUUCAAUAGAGACGAAGCGGAAGUGACGGUACCUAAAGAAGAAGCACCGGCCAACUACGUG
rnacentral:rRNA from 1 species